GGCACACGGCCCAGAACCGCAUCCUCAAAAACAAAAAGGCCCAGAAAGGCAGGGCCGCCGGACAACACAGCCGCCGUCUCCCCGCGCGGCGCGACGCCGGAGAACCUCACAGCGCCGAACAGGAACACCGGACCGUGCGCCGCCCGCCUGGCUCCGUUUGGGGUUCAUCGCCCAGAGGCGGAAUCGCGAGCCGCCCGCGAACACCGACCUUAGAGGCGGCGGCUGAGCUGCUUCCUCACCGCAGCUCCGUGAAGCCCCAGCCGGCCCUCUCUUCUCCCCAGACGCCACGCGCCGAGAACAUCGGGGAGGAUGGCCGGAUUGGCCGCGAGCGCGCCGCCUCUCGCCGCAGGCCCGUCUCCGCUUCGGUUGCGCAAUCCAGCUCCCGUCUGCGGCCUAAUGAGACCUCCGCUGCUCAAGGUUGCCAAGCCGCAAUCCUUUGUUCGUCUCCGAUUCGCUCCGGCCAGCCGGCGAAUAUUUACGGCUGCGUCGUCCAGUGGCAGUGGGCGUCAGGGGCUUCGGACCAGCCAAUACCAGUUUGAUGACGACGAGCCGCUCUGGCUGGCGGUGGUCAGAGAAUUCGCUGCGGGUUUGAGGAGCUUGUUGGCUUUUUUGGCUGAUCAGCCCAGACAGUUGAAGCACCUGGAGUGGCCGAGUUUUCAGAACACGUUGAGGACGGCUACACUCACUCUCAUACUUGUUGCGGUGUUCAUUGUCGCGUUGUCUUCUGUGGAUGCUGCCCUUUCCUACAUUUUAUCAUGGCUACUUCGGAAAUCUGCAUAGUUUAAUGACGUGGUAAGUUAUGAAGGAGUAAAUGAUGCUAUACAGAACAGAACUAGGGAGAAGGUGGUGGUUGUCCCAGUGCAUCAUGUUAUCCUGACAAGAAAGACCACCCUGGGUCAUUGUAGACCUCAGUUCUGUAGACCUGGAAGUUAUUCUCCGUGGAGAAUGUCAGGUGAUGCGCACCAUGUGGAGAGACGAGGGGGAGAAGAUGAAUAAGGAGGUCGAGUUGACCAAAGACUAAGCAGCGGAGGGCUCAUUGUCUUCCUCCAGGUUGUCGAGUACAGGAGCGACAGCAGCAAGUUGUUCCCUGAGAGAUACAUAGCUCUUGUCUUUCUGCUCAAGUAUUGAGAAAUUAACAAAAGCAUCAUAGGUAAAAGAUUAAAUUCAACAAUAUUCUUCGUCAGAAGCCCAUGUCUCUUACAGCAAAAUUAAAUACAGUUUUAUAUGAACUUGAAAGAAUGGGAGCAAUUCAUCUAUCAAUUAGGAGUUUGGAUGGAUUGACCUUUGCUGAAAUAAUCUGUGUAAAAACAAGUUAAAAUGCAUAUAUAGUAACAUAGUACAACCAUUAAGUUGUAGAAAAAGAUACCCCCUCCGAUCCAUAUUAAUUGACUCAACUUUGUCCAGAUAUGGAUGUAUCUAGAGGUGUUUGUUGACUACAUACAUCUGUGCCUAGACAAAGUUGAAUCGAUUAAUAUUAAUUGGAGGGAGUACUUGAUCUCAAGUUUUACUCUAGUUGAGAAGGGUUUGACUGAAGUAUGACUAGUUGGCUACAUUAGGAUGGUGGUGCCCAGAGGGUUGCUAUAAGUCCAUAGCUACUUUAAAAAGAAGCAGGAAGCAUCUCCCACCCCAAUUUAAUAAAUCCACAACUUGAACCAUGCAUCAACAACAACAACAUCCAAAUUCCAUCAUUCCAAGGGAAGUUAACAACCGCACAGAAGGCCAACAGACAACCAACCCAAUUAGUGCAUCAUCAUCAUGAUUACUAUGUAUACCUUGAGAUACAGCUUGUGCUCCCCUAGAGUAGCCAUUAACAAUGCAACUUCAGCUUCUUUGGUGGCCACAGACUGGUGCAGCUGGACCCUGGUCCGAUUGGCAUUGUCCACCUUCCUGCGGUACACCUCCAGGCAUUCUCUUUCUAUCUCUGACAAGACCUUGCUCUUCUCACCCUCACUCUCUCCUACCUCUGUCCAGAUUUGCUGAGUGCCACAAACAACAGGGCGUGAGUUAUGACUUGUGAGUAAGUAAUGAUGAUGCUUCAACCUUUAGUUUGCCAGAAACAACAGGGCAUGAGUGGGCAAAAAUAAAUGGAAACCUAACAUGUUCUAGUUAACGCAGUAGAAGAAAUUUUAGAGCAAAUUUGGUUAUUAGAAGAUGAUCAUGUGCUCCCUGAUCAUCUUCGUUUGCAAAAAAAUAUACAGUGAAGUCGUAGCCAACUAGUGGCAUUACAGGUGAAAACAGAGUAUUAGUUGUCAAAGAGAUAGAUUUGUCCCAUCUCAACUACCUGGCGCACCAUGCCGAAUAGAAUCAAAGAAUUGCUCUUUUGAGGUGCUGAAGAACCAGAAAGGUGAAAAAAAAGAGAAAA